rnacentral:rRNA from 1 species
UACAGAGGGUGCGAGCGUUAAUCGGAAUUACUGGGCGUAAAGCGUGCGUAGACGGUUAUUUAAGUCGGGUGUGAAAGCCCCGGGCUCAACCUGGGAAUUGCAUUCGAGACUGAAUAGCUAGGGUACGGUAGAGGGAAGUGGAAUUUCCGGUGUAGCGGUGAAAUGCGUAGAUAUCGGAAGGAACAUCAGUGGCGAAAGCGACUUCCUGGACCAGUACCGACGUUCAGGCACGAAAGCGUGGGGAGCAAACAG